GGAGGGUUGGGAUGGUACAACCAGAGAUUUGGAUGAAGUCCAUUAUGAGAUCUCCCAAAAAGAAGACGAUAUGCUAUAUAAAGAAUUUGUCGAGAAGAUGAAUUUCAACAAAAAGAAAAUUGCAGGAGAGGUCUUUCGGCACAAAUAUAGUAGGCGUCGGCCUGCUGAUGGGUGGAAAUUCACAAUAGAGAAAAUGGGACCUCGAGGUAAAC
rnacentral:misc_RNA from 1 species